GACGAACGCUGGCGGCGUGCUUAACACAUGCAAGUCGAACGGAGUGGCGAACGGGUGAGUAACACGUGGGUGAUCUGCCUUGCACCUCGGGAUAAGCUUGGGAAACUGGGUCUAAUACCGGAUAGUGCAAGAUGAGCUCGCGGCCUAUCCGCUUGUUGGUGGGGUAAUGGCCUACCAAGGCGCCGACGGGUAGCCGGCCUGAGAGGGGGUACGGCCACAGUGGGACUGAGGUACGGGCCGUACGCAUACGGGGGGCAGCGGUGGGGAUUAUUGCACACUGGGCGGAGUCCUGAUGCAGCGACGCCGGGUGGGGAAUGAAGGCCUUCGGGUUGUAAACUCCUUUCGACAGGGACGCGGUACCUGUCUAAGAAGCACCGGCUAACUACGUGCCAGCAGCCGCGGUAAUUC
rnacentral:rRNA from 1 species